UCGGGAAUUUUGGGCAAUGGGGGAAACCCUGACCCAGCAACGCCGCGUGAAGGAUGAAGUAUUUCGGUAUGUAAACUUCGAAAGAAUAGGAAGAAUAAAUGACGGUACUAUUUAUAAGGUCCGGCUAACUACGUGCCAGCAGCCGCGGUAAUACGUAGGGACCAAGCGUUGUUCGGAUUUACUGGGCGUAAAGGGCGCGUAGGCGGCAUGACAAGUCACUUGUGAAAUCUCUGGGCUUAACCCAGAACGGCCAAGUGAUACUGUCGCGCUAGAGUGCAGAAGGGGCAAUCGGAAUUCUUGGUGUAGCGGUGAAAUGCGUAGAUAUCAAGAGGAACACCUGAGGUGAAGACGGGUUGCUGGGCUGACACUGACGCUGAGGCGCGAAAGCCAGGGGAGCAAACAGGAUUAGAUACCCCAGUAGUCCCUGAGCGGGCUGGCAAGGCGCAU
rnacentral:rRNA from 1 species